GUGUUGGUGGAAUAGUGGCAAGCAUAGCUGCCUUCCAAGCAGUUGACUUAGGUUUGAUUCCCAGUCAAUACA
rnacentral:tRNA from 1 species